rnacentral:rRNA from 1 species
AUUGAACGCUGGCGGAAUGCUUUACACAUGCAAGUCGAACGGCAGCACGGGGCAGCCUGGUUGCGAGUGGCGAACGGGUGCGUAAUACAUCGGAACGUGCCCAAUCGUGGGGGAUAACGUAGCGAAAGUUACGCUAAUACCGCAUACGAUCUACGGAUGAAAGCGGGGGAUCGCAAGACCUCGCGCGAAUGGAGCGGCCGAUGUCAGACUAGCUAGUUGGCGGGGUAACGGCCCACCAAGGCGACGAUCCGUAGCUGGUCUGAGAGGACGAUCAGCCACACUGGGACUGAGACACGGCCCAGACUCCUACGGGGGGCAGCAGUGGGGAAUAUUGGACAAUGGGGGAAACCCUGAUCCAGCGACGCCGCGUGGGUGAAGAAGGCCUGCGGGUUGUAAAGCCCUUUCGGUAGGGACGAAAGCUCUCGACCUAACACGUCGGGAGGUUGACUUAACCUACAAAAGAAGCACCGGCUAACUCUGUGCCAGCAGCCGCAGUAAUAC